UACGAAGGGUGCAAACGUUGCUCGGAAUUAUUGGGCGUAAAGAGCUCGUAGGCGGUGUGUCGCGUCGGCCGUGAAAACCUGCAGCUUAACUGUGGGCUUGCGGUCGAUACGGGCAUCACUGGAGUUCGGCAGGGGAGACUGGAAUUCCUGGUGUAGCGGUGAAAUGCGCAGAUAUCAGGAGGAACACCGGUGGCGAAGGCGGGUCUCUGGGCCGAUACUGACGCUGAGGAGCGAAAGCGUGGGGAGCGAACAGG
rnacentral:rRNA from 1 species